rnacentral:miRNA from 1 species
UGUAGUUUGCCUAUAUAGAGG